rnacentral:rRNA from 1 species
GUUGAAACUCAAAGGAAUUGACGGGGGCCCGCACAAGCGGUGGAGUAUGUGGUUUAAUUCGACGCAACGCGAAAAACCUUACCUGGGCUUGAACUACUGAUGGUAAAAACUGGAAACAGCAAUGACCCGCAAGGGAGUCAGUAGAGGUGCUGCAUGGCUGUCGUCAGCUCGUGUCGUGAGAUGUUGGGUUAAGUCCCGCAACGAGCGCAACCCUUAUCCCAUGUUACCUGUAGCAAUACAGGGUCUCUGAGGAAACUGCCAUUGAUAAAAUGGAGGAAGGUGAGGACGACGUCAAGUCAUCAUGGCCUUUAUGUCCAGGGCUACACACGUACUACAAUGGCCGGUACAGAGGGUAGCAAUAUCGUAAGGUGGAGCAAAUCCCUGAAAGCCGGCCCCAGUUCAGAUUGUGGGCUGCAAUUCGCCCACAUGAAGUAGGAAUCGCUAGUAAUCGCAGAUCAGCAGGCUGCGGUGAAUACGUUCCCGGGCCUUGUACACACCGCCCGUCACACCACGAAAGUUAGUCAUAACAGAAGUCGUUGAGCUAACCGCAAGGAGGCAGGCGCCUAAGUUAUGGUUGGUGAUUGGGGUGAAGUCGUAACAAGGUAACCGUA